rnacentral:rRNA from 1 species
GACGAACGCUGGCGGCGUGCCUAAUACAUGCAAGUAGGACGCAGUUGCGAACGGUUGAGUAACGCGUAGGUAACUACCUAUUAGAGGGGGAUAACUAUUGUAAAAGCUCGCUAAUACCGCAUACUAGUAGAUGGACCUGCGUUGUAUUAGCUAGUAGGUAGGGUAAUGGCCUACCUAGCCAACGAUACAUAGCCGACCUGGGGGGGUGAUCGGCCAAACUGGGAAUGGGACACGGCCCAGACUCCUACGGGAGGCAGCAGGAGGGAAUCUUCGGCAAUGGGGGGAACCCUGACCGAGCAAAGCCGCGGGAGGGAAGAAGGUUUUCGGAUCGUAAAGCUCUGUUGUUAAGGAAGCGGUACUUAACCAGAAAGGGACGGCUAACUACGUGCCAGCAGCCGCGGUAAUAC